GAUGAACGCUGACAGAAUGCUUAACACAUGCAAGUCAACUUGAACUUCGGUUUGGGUGGCGAACGGGUGAGUAACGCGUAAAGAACUUGCCUCACAGAUAGGGACAACAUUUGGAAACGAAUGCUAAUACCUGAUAUUAUGAUUUUAGGGCAUCCUAGGAUUAUGAAAGCUAUAUGCGCUGUGAGAGAGCUUUGCGUCCCAUUAGCUAGUUGGAGAGGUAACGGCUCACCAAGGCGAUGAUGGGUAGCCGGCCUGAGAGGGUGAUCGGCCACAAGGGGACUGAGACACGGCCCUUACUCCUACGGGAGGCAGCAGUGGGGAAUAUUGGACAAUGGACCAAGAGUCUGAUCCAGCAAUUCUGUGUGCACGAUGAAGUUUUUCGGAAUGUAAAGUGCUUUCAGUUGGGAAGAAAAAAAUGACGGUACCAACAGAAGAAGUGACGGCUAAAUACGUG
rnacentral:rRNA from 1 species